rnacentral:rRNA from 1 species
CAGCAGCCACGGGAACACAGAGGGUGCGAGCGUUAAUCGGAUUUACUGGGCGUAAAGCGUGCGUAGGCGGCUAAUUGAGUCGGAUGUGAAAUCCCCGAGCUUAACUUGGGAAUUGCAUUCGAUACUGGUUAGCUAGAGUGUGGGAGAGGAUGGUAGAAUUCCAGGUGUAGCGGUGAAAUGCGUAGAGAUCUGGAGGAAUACCGAUGGCGAAGGCAGCCAUCUGGCCUAACACUGACGCUGAGGUACGAAAGCAUGGGGAGCAAACAGGAUUAGAUACCCCCGUAGUCCCUGUCUCUUAUAC